rnacentral:misc_RNA from 1 species
AAGUCGUAACAAGGUUUCCGUAGGUGAACCUGCGGAAGGAUCAUUAACAUUUUCCACUUGGUAUCUCUUUUUUGGAUGUAGUUGGUCUGCUUCUACCUGGAGACUGACAUCUCACCUGAGCUUUUUCGAAAGAAAAACGUUCAGGUUGGAAGGUGAUGGACAUCCAUUGGUGUUCGUCCCUUCAGACUCAUACAGGAGAUCGGAUGAUCUGUCUGGUCUUCUUUAUGCAUUUGCGUCUUUCCUAUUUCACCCCAAUCACAUUUUUAUAACUUAUGACUUACGGAGACACCUUCACAACGUGUCUCGUUGCUCUGAGCUUCUAACGGAGUCAGGCAAUGAAAACUCUUUUAAAAACUAAAAAUACAACUCUUAGCAACGGAUAUCUUGGUUCUC